AUCAUCAUCAUCAUCAUCAUCAUCAUCAUCAUCAUCAUCAUCAUCAUCAUCAUCAUCAUCAUCCACGAUUUUACCCAAAAACAGAAUACGCCCUUAAUUUCGAAAUUGAACACUCAAACUGAAACUUGCAGAGACACACCAAAGUUCAUCACUCUCUUGAUCCGGGGGGCAGUCGCUUGUUGUCCAGGCAUUCGCCUUGAUCCGGGAGCAGUCGCUUGUUGUCCGUCGCCGCUCCGGCAGCCCCGAUUACACCCGAACCAGCCCCGUUUUUCUCAUUAAAGAAUUGAGGCAAAUGGAUGUUGGGGUGAAAGGUAUACCUUAACCUCAACCGUGCUAGGACGAACAUGGGAAACUUCCUCUCCCUAUUUCUUUUUAAUUUCUGACAAAAGAACUUCCAUGAGUUGAUUGUAAUACUUGAGAAUUAGAGAUGCAGGCUAUGAUUGGGAAUUACCUUGUACUUGGUUGGAAUUGAAAGUAGGAGAAAAAAACAGCCUUGUUCUAAUGAGAGAGCAUGGUGAAAUUUUGAAAGGGAGAGUAAAGGCUGAUUGACUAAUUUAAUUUUGGAAGAAAAUUUGCAGACAAGGGAGAGAGUUAGGGGAAAAACGCAUGAAGAGAGGAAGACUUGAUUCAGGCGCUAUAUUGAAAGGGAUCUUUUGGGUUUAAGAAACAGGAUUUAGUACUUGGGCUCACAAGAAGGGAUUUAAUUAAAUUAAAUUGGGCUCAAGACCCUUUGUAUUUUUAAUUUAAAUUGCGUAGCCCACAAUUUAUAUUCCACAA